UUUUUCCUACGGGGCGCAGCAGUAGGGAAUUUUCGUCAAUGGGCGCAAGCCUGAACGAGCAAUGCCGCGUGAACGAGGAAGGUCUUCGGAUCGUAAAGUUCUGUUGACGGGGAAAAAAGACCGGGAAAGGAAAUGAUCCCGGAGGAGAUAUUACCCGUCGAGGAAGUCACGGCUAACUACGUGCCAGCAGCCGCGGUAAUGCGUAGGUGGCGAGCGUUAUCCGGAAUGAUUGGGCGUAAAGGGGGCGUAGGCGGUCGAUUAAGUCUGGAGUGAAAGGUACCGGCUCAACCGGUAUAGGCACCGGG
rnacentral:rRNA from 1 species